rnacentral:rRNA from 1 species
CGCAGCGGUACUGACGUGCAAAUCGUUCGUCAGACUUGAGUAUAGGGGCGAAAGACUAAUCGAACCAUCUAGUAGCUGGUUCCCUCUGAAAUUUCUCUCAGGAUAGCUGGAACAAUUUCAAGCAGUUUUAUCAGGUAAAGCGAAUGAUUAGAGGACUCGGAGCUCAAAGAGCUUUGACCUAUUCUCAAACUUUAAAUUGGUAAGAUCUAUUAGUUCUCUUAAUUGAACUGGUAGGCAGAAUGCAUUGUUCCAAGUGGGCUUAUCGUGGUAAGCAUGUUAAGCAAUGAGGGAUGAACCUAACGCUGAGAUAAGGCGCCAAAAUUCCCGCUCAUCAGAUACCAUAAAAGGUGUUGAUUCAUAUAGACAGCAGGACGGUGGCCAUGGAAGUCGGAAUCCGCUAAGGAGUGUGUAACAACUCACCUGCCGAAUGAAUUAGCCCUGAAAAUGGAUGGCGCUGAAGCGGGAUGCCGAUACUCAGCCAUCAAA